UUUGGCCAAUUGCGGCCGAAGGCCAUGUUGGAAGGAGCCCCGACCGGAUGCCAGGUAACGCCAUCCGUCUGCAGGCUCAACUCAAAGUUGUGCCAAGGAUUCAGCGAAGUCCGAGUUUAAAGGCCAUUCACUGGUGGUUGCCUGCGACAUAUUAGUAGGAAGAUCUGGAGGCCGUUUAUUCGAUCAACAACCUCCUGACGCCUCGUGCCAUUUCGUUUUAUUCUUACUGUGAGGCGACACCGGGUCUCCUGGUUCCUAGGCCGUAAUGACCCGUCAUACGAGAUGGAGCCAUGGAGUAUCUGACAAGCUAGAAUUAUCCUACCCCAGUGUAACGCAGUCCAUCACAAAUCCCACAAGAGCUGACCUAGCAUUGAACCCGGAUCGCCGCCGUGAGAAGUUGGCGACUAACCCCCUAAGCUAUGGCAUGCGCAUCAUGUAAUUAUAAAGGAUCCACCUAACAAGCUGAUUUCAGAAAAUGGGAAAUGUUUCGAUUGUGAGGGCUGUGAAUACCAGCAUGCGCUACCAUGGCCACGAAUACAGAAGAUGGUGCCAGAAAAGCUAACAAGUUCAACAUGCUGCUGGCAGGUUAACUCAGCUACUCAACAGUGCAAACACAAGAAAUGAGCACCAUCUUCAUAGACCAACUGCCAACCCCUUAGCUUUUCAGAUAUACGUAUACUAUGGUCGCAUCUAAAUCUUCAACAAUCUGCUAUUUAGUCUCAAAGGUGUUAUGAAUGAAAAGGCACAACAUAAAGUAGCACAAAAGAUACUUAAAUACACAAUCAUUCUUUUCUGUUUAUGAACUCCUAUUAUCUAGAAAUGAUUCAUUAUCUAUUUAAAGGGUUAUAUAAAUAGUUAAAGUGGAAAGUAUUUUUGUAUAUGUUUGGAUUUAUUUGAAACACCUGAACACCUAAUCAUGUUAUACCAUUCUUGUGAUUAUAAGUAUAAAGUAUAAACAUACAUUUUCUCUAUUAUAUUUAUUAGCAUCUAUUUGA